ACUUUCCAGGUUGCAGCCUGAUUUAUUAGGCUGAUGGCUGGUGACUUUUUGGUCACCAGCCU
rnacentral:sRNA from 1 species